CCCAAAGGUUUCCUACUGCCCUGAACAUGCCCGAUCUUGUCCAAUCUCAGAAGCUAAGCAGGGUCAAGCCUGGUUAGUACGUGGAUGGGACCCUGUCUGGGAAUACUGGGUGCCAUAGGCU